rnacentral:rRNA from 1 species
AUUGAACGCUGGCGGCAUGCCUUACACAUGCAAGCCGAACGGCAGCACGGGUGCUUGCACCUGGUGGCGAGUGGCGAACGGGUGAGUAAUACAUCGGAACGUACCUUAUCGUGGGGGAUAACGCAGCGAAAGCUGUGCUAAUACCGCAUACGCCCUGAGGGGGAAAGCGGGGGAUCGCAAGACCUCGCGCGAUUAGAGCGGCCGAUGCCUGAUUAGCUUGUUGGUGGGGUAAAAGCCCACCAAGGCGACGAUCAGUAGCUGGUCUGAGAGGAGGAUCAGCCACACUGGGACUGAGACACGGCCCAGACUCCUACGGGAGGCAGCAGUGGGGAAUUUUGGACAAUGGGGGCAACCCUGAUCCAGCAAUGCCGCAUGAGUGAAGAAGGCCUUCGGGUUGUAAAGCUCUUUUGUCAGGGAAGAAACACCGGCUCUAACACAGUCCGGGAAUGACGGUACCUGAAGAAUAAGCACCGGCUAACUACGUGCCAGCCGCCGCCGUAA